rnacentral:rRNA from 1 species
CGAGAGCAAGCGGACCUCAUAAAGUGCGUCGUAGUCCGGAUUGGAGUCUGCAACUCGACUCCAUGAAGUCGGAAUCGCUAGUAAUCGUGGAUCAGAAUGCCACGGUGAAUACGUUCCCGGGCCUUGUACACACCGCCCGUCACACCAUGGGAGUGGGUUGCAAAAGAAGUAGGUAGCUUAACCUUCGGGAGGGCGCUUACCACUUUGUGAUUCAUGACUGGGGUGAAGUCGUAACAAGGUAACCGUAGGGGAACCUGCGGUUGGAUCACCUCCUUACCUGAAAGAAGC